AUUUGAGGACCUGUCGCACUCGGUGGUUCGCGUUUUUUCCAGCUAUCCCGCUCAGGUUGUGCAGAAACUUCAUCAUCCAACUUUCUCCAUCAGAGUGGCUCUCUUUCUCAGAGUGAAAAUCCAGCUAUCAUUGGACCAGAGCGGACUCCAGAAACAUAUCAAUCUGCCACUGAACAGCUGGAGAGAGAGGAUGUGACAGAAGUACAGGGGAUUAAGGUCAGAUAUGAUGGAUACACAAAAGGACAUCCGUGAUGCCAUACGAGCAGUGCUUCCUGGCCUUUCACAGGAAGUUUUGGCUGCUUUAGAGGAUGUGUUGGAGAACCUCGGUACUACAACCACAGAUGAUUUACAAUAUAUCACUGAAGGAGACUUAUUGCUUGUACUGAAGCCCAUACAGGCCAGAAGACUGGUUGCUGCGUGGGCCC